AUUGAACGCUGGCGGCAGGCCUAACACAUGCAAGUCGAACGAGUGGCGGACGGGUGAGUAAUGUCUGGGAAACUGCCUGAUGGAGGGGGAUAACUACUGGAAACGGUAGCUAAUACCGCAUACCAUCGGAUGUGCCCAGAUGGGAUUAGCUAGUAGGUGGGGUAACGGCUCACAUAGGCGACGAUCCCUGGCUGGUCUGAGAGGAGGACCAGCAACACGGGAACUGAGACACGGUCCAGACUCUGACGGGAGGCAGCAGUGGGGAAUAUUGCACAAUGGUCGCAAGCCUGAUGCAGCCAUGCCGCGUGUAUGAAGAAGGCCUGCGGGUUGUAAAGUACUUUCAGCGGGGAGGCGUUACCCGCAGAAGAAGCACCGGCUAACUCCGUGCCAGCAGCCGCGGUAAUUC
rnacentral:rRNA from 1 species